rnacentral:lncRNA from 1 species
CGGAAGAGCCGCAGGCUCUCGACUCCCCACCCCCCGAAAAGCACGUCUGCAGAAUGGGGGCGCCCCCAAGCCCUGAGCGCCGCAGCUGCUCGGCCGCCGCCGCCACCGCGCGUCCCCGGGUCCUCGGGCUCCCGGCUUCGCUGCUGGGGAGCUGACGCAGCUGGCUGGCCGUGGGGUCCCGUUCUGGGGCCGUCCUGCCGAGUCGGGGGUAGGGGAGCGGUGGCCACAACUCCCGGGUGCUCGCAGAAACUCCUCUGCGUGGUGGUGUUGCAGCCGCUGUGGCUGCGGGGAGGGGCAAGAGCACCGGGAAGUUGGGGGCGCGGAACCCCGAGCGGGGCGGCGGCAGGCAGCAUCCCCGACCCGACCCCGACCCCCGAGACGCGGCGCCCCCACGUGCCCUCCGUCCCCCCGCGCUGUGCCCCCAGCGCCCUCCGUCCCUACCGCGCGGCGUCCCCCAAGGCCCUCUGUCCCCACCGCGGAGGGGCGCGCAGGGGGUCGGCAGGGCUCGGGUACCACGCUUCGCCCGGCCCCACCUGCGGAUGUGGGGCUCCAACUGGAGAUCCCCGGUCCCCCCUCCCAUCCCUGGAAAAAUCCCCGGGGCGUCCGGGACUGACCCGCGCUUACCCGGGAAGCAGCGGCUUCGCAAGCCCGGGCGGCGCUCGCAGGUCGGGCGGGGAAGGUGCAGGCUGCGCUGCGCCGGCUCGGGCUGCCGGAGCGCCCUUCAGCCGCCGUCGGGCUCGGGCUGGGGCUCCGACUUCCUCUUCCUUGGGCUCUGCCCCACUGCUCGGCCGCGCCCCCGCCCGCCCCUCCCCGCGCCCCGACGCCGGCUUCGGCGGCCAGAGCAGCGGAUCGCUCGUCCCGCCUCCCCUCUGCCCUGAGGGCGAAAAAGGUGGAGAGGAGGGGGGCGAAGAGAAAAAGAAAUUAGGGACUUGGCCUUGUCUCUGGAGCCUUGCCAAAGAGAACAGUCAAAUUACAGCCUCGGAGGGAACAAAGUUUUUUUAA